GAAGUUUGUGGGGCUAAAUGACGAUGACGAAAAUAGUCAACUUUUACACUGGUUUCGUUAAGUGAACGAAUGAGAGAAAGGGAUCAGUUUAGAAGCGGAAGUACAUGGUUAUUAGCUUGACCUAAACAUAUCCGGGAAAUCGAUAUGUGGACCGAGUUUAGUUGUAACGUUAGCGAAAACAAGACGCAAUGUGAACAAUGUCCAAGAAAAGAACGCGACAAAUUUGGUGCGUCAUCUGCCGGCAUGUCACCCCGAAAGCACUCCAAGGUACUGUAUGCUGGAAUGAACGGGAGUAAAAGAGUGACAGGAUGGAAAAGAAAAUAAGGACAAAAAAACAGUGUUAUUGGUCCUAACUAAGCGUUUGAUGGUUGAACUGGAAGACCCACAAGAACGUCAAAGAUAAGCACUCUAGACACAGCAGCAAUCAGCUGGGUCCUCAGAGACUGAUCCAUGGAGUCUGACUGGAAGCCGUCCAGACAGA